rnacentral:rRNA from 1 species
UGCAGUCGAACGGUGAAGCCCAGCUUGCUGGGUGGAUCAGUGGCGAACGGGUGAGUAACACGUGAGCAAUCUGCCCCUGACUCUGGGAUAAGCGCUGGAAACGGCGUCUAAUACUGGAUAUGAACCGUGGAGGCAUCUUCAACGGUUGGAAAGAUUUUUUGGUCAGGGAUGAGCUCGCGGCCUAUCAGCUUGUUGGUGAGGUAAUGGCUCACCAAGGCGUCGACGGGUAGCCGGCCUGAGAGGGUGACCGGCCACACUGGGACUGAGACACGGCCCAGACUCCUACGGGAGGCAGCAGUGGGGAAUAUUGCACAAUGGGCGCAAGCCUGAUGCAGCAACGCCGCGUGAGGGAUGACGGCCUUCGGGUUGUAAACCUCUUUUAGCAGGGAAGAAGCGAAAGUGACGGUACCUGCAGAAAAAGCGCCGGCUAACUACGUGCCAGCAGCCGCGGUAAUACGUAGGGCGCAAGCGUUAUCCGGAAUUAUUGGGCGUAAAGAGCUCGUAGGCGGUUUGUCGCGUCUGCUGUGAAAUCCCGAGGCUCAACCUCGGGUCUGCAGUGGGUACGGGCAGACUAGAGUGCGGUAGGGGAGAUUGGAAUUCCUGGUGUAGCGGUGGAAUGCGCAGAUAUCAGGAGGAACACCGAUGGCGAAGGCAGAUCUCUGGGCCGUAACUGACGCUGAGGAGCGAAAGGGUGGGGAGCAAACAGGCUUAGAUACCCUGGUAGUCCACCCCGUAAACGUUGGGAACUAGUUGUGGGGUCCAUUCCACGGAUUCCGUGACGCAGCUAACGCAUUAAGUUCCCCGCCUGGGGAGUACGGCCGCAAGGCUAAAACUCAAAGGAAUUGACGGGGACCCGCACAAGCGGCGGAGCAUGCGGAUUAAUUCGAUGCAACGCGAAGAACCUUAYCAAGGCUUGACAUAUACGAGAACGCUGCAGAAAUGUAGAACUCUUUGGACACUCGUAAACAGGUGGUGCAUGGUUGUCGUCAGCUCGUGUCGUGAGAUGUUGGGUUAAGUCCCGCAACGAGCGCAACCCUCGUUCUAUGUUGCCAGCACGUAAUGGUGGGAACUCAUGGGAUACUGCCGGGGUCAACUCGGAGGAAGGUGGGGAUGACGUCAAAUCAUCAUGCCCCUUAUGUCUUGGGCUUCACGCAUGCUACAAUGGCCGGUACAAAGGGCUSCAAUACCGUAAGGUGGAGCGAAUCCCAAAAAGCCGGUCCCAGUUCGGAUUGAGGUCUSCAACUCGACCUCAUGAAGUCGGAGUCGYUAGUAAUCGCAGAUCAGCAACGCUGCGGUGAAUACGUUCCCGGGUCUUGUACACACCGCCCGUCAAGUCAUGAAAGUCGGUAACACCUGAAGCCGGUGGCCCAACCCUUGUGG